UACGUAGGGGGCGAGCGUUGUCCGGAUUUAUUGGGCGUAAAGAGCGUGUAGGCGGUUCGGUAAGUCUGUCGUGAAAUCCUGAGGCUCAACCUCGGGCGUGCGAUGGAUACUGCCGGGCUAGAGGGUGGUAGAGGCGAGUGGAAUUCCCGGUGUAGCGGUGAAAUGCGCAGAUAUCGGGAGGAACACCAGUAGCGAAGGCGGCUCGCUGGGCCACACCUGACGCUGAGACGCGAAAGCUAGGGGAGCGAACAGGG
rnacentral:rRNA from 1 species